AUUGAACGCUGGCGGCAUGCCUAACACCUGCAAGUCGAACGGCAGCACGGCAGUAGCAAUACUGUGGGUGGCGAGUGGCGGACGGGUGAGGAAUGCGUCGGAAUCUGCCCAGUCGUGGGGGAUAACUAGCCGAAAGGUUAGCUAAUACCGCAUACGACCGAGAAGUGAAAGCGGGGGACCGCAAGGCCUCGCGCGAUUGGAUGAGCCGACGUCGGAUUAGCUGGUUGGUGGGGUAAAGGCCUACCAAGGCGACGAUCCGUAGCUGGUCUGGAGAGGAUGAUCGACGCCACACGUAGGAACU
rnacentral:rRNA from 1 species